AAAGAAAAAAAAGGGUAAGGUAGACUCAGAUGGGGGGCAGGGGUUUUGGCUGAGGGGUAUAAACAACAUUUGUGUAGUUCUCCGUACGUACAGUGAAUCAGUGAUAGGACUGUUAAUUGGCCCUUGUCAUCCGCCCCCGUAUUCUUCUUCUUUCUGUGUUAAUUGGCGAAUAGUCUCCAACAUAGAAUGCGGUCAUCAUCAGAAGAUGGACAAUCGCGGUAGUAGCACAACCAGUACCAAGACGAAGGAUAACAUUAACACCACGGUUCAAAUCUCAGCUCCAACCUCAAAGUCAUCUUCUUCUAUUCCGACCUCAUCUCCCAUUCCGAUAGCCCCAGCCCCAGCCCCUCCCAGCAGCUGCAACAGUAAGUAUUCCAUGGAAGAAGUCUGGAAAGAUAUCUGUCCCUCUGCUCUCCUCCACCAUCCCACCAGUACCUCUUCCUCCGCUGCUGCCCUCGAGGGUAUUGUUUUCCAGGAGUUCUUGUCCCGACCUUCAAGGGCGCAGUAUGACUCGACUAGUCGCCAUCAUCAUCAUCAUCCUGGCCGCCAGUCUUCUUUAGAAAGCAUCGACAGAGGCUCCUUUGGUUCCCACUCCCAGGGACAGCCAGCUCCGGCGGCGACUGCAUCAAUCACUCUGAGCUUGAACUCAACGAGGCCACCACCCUCUUCUUCAUUUUCUCUUCCUCUGGACCAUGAUCUUGAUGCCGAUGCCAAUUUGAACCCUCCCACCGUCGAGUUUUCUAUCUUGCCUGAGAAAAGGGCAUCUCAAGAUGAAGACACUUGUCACCGGAACAAGCGUAUGAUCAAGAAUAGAGAGUCAGCUGCCAGGUCCAGGGCUAGAAAACAGAAUCCUAACCUUGGCUUUGGCCUCAGAAUCAAGAAGGAGAAGAAGAAGAAGAAGAAGAAGAAGGAAAAAAAAAAAAAUUCUUUAUUAAGUAGUAGAUGUAGUAGAGUAUUUCUUUGCCUAUUCAAUUUUAUUGUUUGAACUUUGGGUUGGACUUGGGGAGGCUCUAAACUGGGGUAUGCUUAAUUAGCAGGCUUACACCAGCGAGUUGGAGAUUAAAGUCGCACGUUUAAUGGAGGAAAAUGCUAAGCUUAGAAGGCAACAACAAGAGAAGCACUGUCUGCAGCAGGCUCCUGCCCCGUUUCCAAAAAAGCAAAUGCUGUGCCGAACCUUAACAGCCCCAUUUUAAGAAGUCUCCAUGUCGCGCAAUUUUACGUUUCUGUCCUUGUUUGAUGAUGCGAGUGACCUCUGGCUUUGCUAUCUUCUGUUCAGUUGACUAAUCUCUCUGUGUUAGCUAGCUAGCUAGCGUGUAAUAUAUAUAUAUAAAAAGGGUGAAAGAGAUUUGCUGCAACUGGUUGGGCCUCGGAACCCCAAACCCUUACUCGUUUAUAAGCCAAAGAAGAAAAAAGAAAGAAUGGAAAAAAGGAAGAGGGCGUGAGUGAGUAAAGGCAGGGGAGACUGGUGGGCGUCCUUUGUACAGUGCUCGCAUCUUUUCUUGGUUGUCUUUAGUGCAACUUGUGCUAGUUUUAUUCCCCCGAUGAGAUGGUACCACCUUUACGGAAUGUUACCGCCCCCAACCCAAAAGAAGGGAAAAGUCCACCACCACUAGUUUACUAAGCUUUUCCGUGGAGGGGCGGGUCUCAAUCGGAUUGGUGGAACAGUCGCCCAACUGCUUGCCAUAAUAAAUGCUUGAAUUCU